UAUAAUGCAGUCGAGCGGACAGAUGGGAGCUUGCUCCCUGAUGUUAGCGGCGGACGGGUGAGUAACACGUGGGUAACCUGCCUGUAAGACUGGGAUAACUCCGGGAAACCGGGGCUAAUACCGGAUGGUUGUUUGAACCGCAUGGUUCAGACAUAAAAGGUGGCUUCGGCUACCACUUACAGAUGGACCCGCGGCGCAUUAGCUAGUUGGUGAGGUAACGGCUCACCAAGGCGACGAUGCGUAGCCGACCUGAGAGGGUGAUCGGCCACACUGGGACUGAGACACGGCCCAGACUCCUACGGGAGGCAGCAGUAGGGAAUCUUCCGCAAUGGACGAAAGUCUGACGGAGCAACGCCGCGUGAGUGAUGAAGGUUUUCGGAUCGUAAAGCUCUGUUGUUAGGGAAGAACAAGUGCCGUUCAAAUAGGGCGGCACCUUGUCGGUACCUAACCAGAAAGCCACGGCUAACUACGUGCCAGCAGCCGCGGUAAUACGUAGGUGGCAAGCG
rnacentral:rRNA from 1 species